GCCGGGCAUGGUGACGUGUGCCUGUAAUCCCAGCUACUCAGGAGGCUGAGGCAGGAGAAUCGCUUGAUCCCAGGAGGUGGAGGUUGCAGUGAGCCAAGAUGGCGCCAUUGCACUCCAGCCUGGGCAUCGCAGCGAGACCCCGUCUCAAAAAAAAAAAAAAGGAGCUGGGGUCUCGUUCUGUCACCCAGGCUGGAGCGCAGUGGCACAGUCAUGGCUCACUGCAACCUCAACCUCCUGGGCUCGAGCAAUCCUCCUUCCU
rnacentral:SRP_RNA from 1 species